rnacentral:ncRNA from 1 species
GCGGUUUGCUAGCGUGGGAGGACCCCGACGAGACGCGCCGUACCGGGCUGCACCACGGCAAAGACGACGCACC